rnacentral:rRNA from 1 species
GUUAUAUGGUCAAGUGAAGAAGCGCAUACGGUGGAUGCCUUGGCAGUCAGAGGCGAUGAAAGACGUGGUAGCCUGCGAUAAGCUUUGGGGAGUCGGCAAACAGACUGUGAUCCAGAGAUCUCUGAAUGGGGGAACCCAGCCAGCAUAAGCUGGUUAUCUUGUACUGAAUACAUAGGUGCAAGA